UCCCGGCCCCGCGGGGUCGGGCGCACCACCGGCCCGUCUCGCCCGCACCGUCGGGGAGGUGGAGCGUGAGCGCGUGCGAUAGGACCCGAAAGAUGGUGAACUAUGCCUGGGCAGGGC
rnacentral:rRNA from 1 species